rnacentral:rRNA from 1 species
UUCGCCCUUAGAGUUUGAUCCUGGCUCAGAGCGAACGCUGGCGGCAGGCUUAACACAUGCAAGUCGAGCGGGCGUAGCAAUACGUCAGCGGCAGACGGGUGAGUAACGCGUGGGAACGUACCUUUUGGUUCGGAACAACACAGGGAAACUUGUGCUAAUACCGGAUAAGCCCUUACGGGGAAAGAUUUAUCGCCGAAAGAUCGGCCCGCGUCUGAUUAGCUAGUUGGUGAGGUAACGGCUCACCAAGGCGACGAUCAGUAGCUGGUCUGAGAGGAUGAUCAGCCACAUUGGGACUGAGACACGGCCCAAACUCCUACGGGAGGCAGCAGUGGGGAAUAUUGGACAAUGGGGGCAACCCUGAUCCAGCCAUGCCGCGUGAGUGAUGAAGGCCCUAGGGUUGUAAAGCUCUUUUGUGCGGGAAGAUAAUGACGGUACCGCAAGAAUAAGCCCCGGCUAACUUCGUGCCAGCAGCCGCGGUAAUACGAAGGGGGCUAGCGUUGCUCGGAAUCACUGGGCGUAAAGGGUGCGUAGGCGGAUCUUUAAGUCAGAGGUGAAAGCCUGGAGCUCAACUCCAGAACUGCCUUUGAUACUGGGGAUCUUGAGUUCGGGAGAGGUGAGUGGAACUGCGAGUGUAGAGGUGAAAUUCGUAGAUAUUCGCAAGAACACCAGUGGCGAAGGCGGCUCACUGGCCCGAUACUGACGCUGAGGCACGAAAGCGUGGGGAGCAAACAGGAAAAGAUACCCUGGUAGUCCACGCCGUAAAC